rnacentral:rRNA from 1 species
AACUAAGCGGAGGAAAAGAAACUAACCAGGAUUCCCCUAGUAACGGCGAGUGAAGCGGGAAAAGCUCAGACUGAAAAUCUUCGGAAAUGUAGUCUGUUGAAGCCAUACCAGCUCAAGGGUGUCAGUGAAAUCCCCUGGAAUGGGGUACCAAUGAGGGUGAUAGUCCCAUUCAUGCUGAUGUCUUAGGGUGUACCGUAGGCUUUCAUUGAGUCGAGUUGCUUGGGAUUGCAGCUCUAAGUGGGUGGUAAAUUCCAUCUAAAGCUAAAUAUUGGUGGGAGACCGAUAGCAAACAAGUACCGUGAGGGAAAGAUGAAAAGAACUUUGAAAAGAGAGUUAAAGAGUACCUGAAAUUGCUGAAAAGGAACCGAUGGGAGGCAGUGUUGGCUUGAUACCAAUCCGGGGCCCGCAUGCGGGAUUCGUAUUUGGUAUUGGGCAAGUUACGCUUGCUUUAACUCGAAUGAGAGACUUCAGACCUGUAUAGACUGAAAGCAUCGAUUUGAGUUAUAGUGACUGUGGCGAAAUGCCUCUCAUCAUCCCGUCUUGAAACACGGACCAAGGAGUCUAACAUGUCUGCAAGUGCUCGGAGUUUAUCUCCAAGCGCGGAAUUAAUGUGAAUGUAACCUAGUUACAGAGGUAGAAUGCUUAGGCUGCACUAUCGACCGACCAUGAUCCUACGGGAAAAAGGUUUGAGUGUGAGCAUACAUGUUGGGACCCGAAAGAUGGUGAACUAUGCUUGAGUAGGACGAAGCCAGGGGAAACUCUGGUGGAGGUCCGCCGCGAUUCUAACGUGCAAAUUGAUCGUCGAACUUGGGUAUAGGGGCGAAAGACUAAUCGAACCAUCUAGUAGCUGGUUCCUCCCGAAAUUUCCCUCAGGAUAGCUGCAACCGAACAGUUUUAUCAGGUAAAGCGAAUGAUUAGAGGCCUCAGGGGUGGAACGUCCUUGACCUAUUCUCAAACUUUAAAUGGGUAAGAGCCCGGGGUUGCUUAAUUGAACUCUGCGGUUGAAUGGCGGUUGCUAGUGGGCCAAUCUGGGUAAGCUAGAUUGGCGAUGCGGGAUGAACCGAACGUCAAGUUAAAGUGCCAAAGUGUCCGCUAACCUAGAUCCCACAAAAGGUGUUGGUUCAUUAAGACAGCAGGACGGUGGCCAUGGAAGUCGGAACCCGCUAAGGAGUGUGUAACAACUCACCUGCCGAAUGAACUAGCCCUGAAAAUGGAUGGCGCUUAAGCGGAACACUUAUACUUGACCAACUCUGCAAGCACAAAGCAGUGUUGAGUAGGGGGGCGUGGAGCUCGUUGUGCAUUCUGUGGCGUGAGCCGGGAUGAAACGGGUUCUAGUGCAGAUCUUGGUAGCAGUAGCAAAUAUUCAAAUGAGAACUUUGAAGACUGACGUGGAGAAAGGUUCCAUGUGAACAGUAAUUGGACAUGGGUGAGUCGAUCCUAAGAGAUAGGAAAAUUCUGUUUCAAAGUGGUUCUUCCUUGGGAGAAUCCGCUUAUCGAAAGGGAAUCGGGUUAAUAUUCCCGAACCAGGACGUGGAUAAUGAGUGGUAACACAAGCGAAAUCGGGGACGUUGGCGAAAGCCCCGGGAAGAGUUCUCUUUUCUUUUUAACAACUCAGUGAACCUUGGAAUCGGAUUGACCGGCGAUAAGGUUCAAUGGUUGGUAAAGCGGCAUACUUUUUGUGUCGUCCGGUGCGCUUUCGACGAUCCGUGAAAACCCGGUAGCGUGACUUAUUCGCACCCCUGGUCGUACUCAUAACCGCCUCAGGUCUCCAAGGUGCGCAGCCUCUAGUCAAUAGAACAAUGUAGAUAAGGGAAGUCGGCAAAAUAGAUCCGUAACCUCGGGAUAAGGAUUGGCUCUGAGGGUUGGGCCUAGGGGUCUCAGGGACGACGGAAGUGGCGGCUAGGAGGGGACUGCGGUCUCACGACUGCGGACCCAACCCGGCUGCUCUCCGGAGGCUCUGAGAACGUCUUCGGACUUUCCCUAGUGCGUGGAACAACCAACUCAGAACUGGAGCGGACAAGGGGAAUCCGACUGUUUAAUUAAAACAAAGCAUUGCGAUGGCUGGAGACCG